AGAGCGUAGGGAGAAUGCCUUGGCAUUAGGAGCCGAUGAAGGACGUGAUAAGCUGCGAUAAGCUGCGGGGAUCAGCAAGUAUGAAUUGAUCCGCAGAUUUCCGAAUGGAGCAAUCCGUAUGUGUAUGCACAUACAUCAUAUACUGAAUCAAAUAGGUAUAUGAGGGGAACCGCCUGAACUGAAACAUCUAAGUAGGGCGAGGAAGAGAAAUCAACCGAGAUUCUGUGAGUAGUGGCGAGCGAAAGCGGAAGAGGCUAAACCAUAGGUAGCAAUACUUAUGGGGUUUCGGACAGCAUUUAGUAUUGAUAAUUUCUAGUUGAAACGUGUGGGAAAACGUACCGAAGAGUGUGAGAGUCACGUAAGCGAAAGAGAAAGUCAGCGAGCUGUAUCCAAAGUACCGCGGGACACGUGAAACCCCGUGGGAAGAUGGGGGGACCAUCCUCCAAGCCUAAAUACUACCUAAUGACCGAUAGCGAAUAGUACUGUGAAGGAACGGUGAAAAGAACCCCGGGAGGGGAGUGAAAAAGAACCUGAAACCCUAUGCUUACAAGCACCGAGAGCACGUCAAAGUGUGAUCGGGUACCUUUUGUAGAAUGGUCCGGCGAGUUAUUGUAUGCGGCAAGGUUAAGUGCUUAAGGCACGGAGCCGAAGCGAGAGCAAGUCUGAAUAGGGCGAAAGAGUCGUAUGCAAUAGACCCGAAACCGAGUGACCUAUCCAUGUCCAGGCUGAAGUGGAGGUAAAACUCCAUGGAGGGCCGAACACACGUCCGUUGAAAAGGCCGGUGAUGAGGUGUGGAUAGCGGAGAAAUUCCAAUCGAACUCGGAUAUAGCUGGUUCUCUCCGAAAUAGCUUUAGGGCUAGCCUCGUGAAAGAUUACUGGAGGUAAAGCACUGAAUGGGCUAGGGGUCGAAAGAUUACUGAACCCUAUCAAACUAAGAAUGCCAGAUAAUUGAUUCACGGGAGUCAGACAAUGUGAGAUAAGUCUCAUUGUCAAAAGGGAAACAGCCCAGACCCACAGCUAAGGUCCCUAAACAUUGUUAAGUGGAAAAGGAUGUGGGGUUGCAUAAACAACCAGGAUGUUGGCUUAGAAGCAGCCACUCAUUAAAAGAGUGCGUAAUAGCUCACUGGUCGAGUGACCCUGCGCCGAAAAUUCAACGGGGCUAAACAAUGUACCGAAGCUUGGGAUUCUAAAGUAAUUUAGAGUGGUAGGAGAGCGUCGAAUAAGGGGUGAAGUCAGAGCGGAAGCGCUGGUGGACUUUAUUCGAGUGAGAAUGCCGGAAUGAGUAGCGAGAAUUAUGUGAGAAUCAUAAUGGCCGAAAAUCUAAGGUUUCCUGAGGAAGGUUCGUCCGCUCAGGGUAAGCCGGGGGCUAAGGCGAGGCGGAGACGCGUAGCCGAUGCACAUACGGUUGAAAUUCCGUAGCCACCGAAAGAUUUAAGUACAGGGACGCUUUAGAAGUGAUGUUGCCGGGCGAUGGUUGACCCGGUCGUAAGGGAUCGAAAAUGAGUAGAGAAGUCAUCAUGGAAAGAGACAAGAAAAGCUGUAUGGAUAUCUUAGGUGCCCGUACCGCAAACCGACACAGGUAGAUAGGAAGAAGAUUCUAAGGCCAACGGGAGAAGGGUUGUUAAGGAACUCGGCAAGUUGACCCCGUAACUUAGGGAUAAGGGGUGCUCAAGUGAUUGAGCCGCAGAGAAUAGGCCCAGGCGACUGUUUAGCAAAAACACAGGUCUCUGCUAAAUCGAAAGAUGACGUAUAGGGGCUGACACCUGCCCGGUGCCGGAAGGUUAAGAGGAGAUGUGAGAGCAUUGAAUUGAAGCCCCGGUAAACGGCGGCCGUAACUAUAACGGUCCUAAGGUAGCGAAAUUCCUUGUCAGGUAAGUUCUGACCCGCACGAAAGGUGUAACGAUCUGGGCACUGUCUCAACAACCCGCCCGGCGAAAUUGUAGUACCGGUGAAGAUGCCGGUUACCCGCGACUAGACGGAAAGACCCCAUGGAGCUUUACUGUAGCCUAAUAUUGGAUUUCGGUAUUUCACGUACAGGAUAGGUGGGAGACUGGGAAGCACAGGCGUCAGCUUGUGUGGAGUCGACCUUGGGAUACCACUCUUGGAGUGCUGGAAUUCUAACCUGCGGCUUUGAAGCAAGUCGGGGGACAUUGUUAGGUGGGCAGUUUGACUGGGGCGGUCGCCUCCUAAAGA
rnacentral:rRNA from 1 species